rnacentral:rRNA from 1 species
UGGGGAAUUUUGGACAAUGGGCGCAAGCCUGAUCCAGCAAUGCCGCGUGCAGGAUGAAGGCCUUCGGGUUGUAAACUGCUUUUGUACGGAACGAAACGGCUCCUAUUAAUACUGGGGGCUAAUGACGGUACCGUAAGAAUAAGCACCGGCUAACUACGUGCCAGCAGCCGCGGUAAUACGUAGGGUGCGAGCGUUAAUCGGAAUUACUGGGCGUAAAGCGUGCGCAGGCGGUUAUAUAAGACAGAUGUGAAAUCCCCGGGCUCAACCUGGGACCUGCAUAUGUGACUGUAUAGCUAGAGUACGGUAGAGGGGGAUGGAAUUCCGCGUGUAGCAGUGAAAUGCGUAGAUAUGCGGAGGAACACCGAUGGCGAAGGCAAUCCCCUGGACCUGUACUGACGCUCAUGCACGAAAGCGUGGGGAGCAAACAGGAUUAGAUACCCAGGUAGUCCCUGAGCGGGCUGGCAAGGCGCAU